GUGAUAAAUACAAACCAUCUAGAAUAAACAAAAAUCAUUAUUUAGAGCUAUUAAAGAGUGGGUAGAGAGCAUUAAAUGCACAAAAAAUUAGACCAAAAACUAGUCGUACAAGCUGUUAGGACAUAGGGUUCAUGGGUCAAACCCCUGUUAUAGGGAUCACCCCAUGUGGCAAAACAGAGAUAGGGCUCUCUGUUUGGCCCUGUGGCACAACAUGGAUCGACCUUAGGGUGACCCCCUGGCUAGGGUUCGUCCCUUAUGGCAUGCCUGGCAUCUAUAGCAUGCC
rnacentral:lncRNA from 1 species